UACGUAGGGUGCAAGCGUUAUCCGGAAUUAUUGGGCGUAAAGAGCUCGUAGGCGGUUUGUCGCGUCUGCUGUGAAAACUGGGGGCUCAACCCCCAGCCUGCAGUGGGUACGGGCAGACUAGAGUGCGGUAGGGGAGAUUGGAAUUCCUGGUGUAGCGGUGGAAUGCGCAGAUAUCAGGAGGAACACCGAUGGCGAAGGCAGAUCUCUGGGCCUUACCUGACGCUGAGGAGCGAAAGCGUGGGGAGCGAACAGG
rnacentral:rRNA from 1 species